GGCGAGUGAGCGGCAGAGCUCAGAUUUGAAAUCGUGCUAAUUUUUUUGGCACGAGUUGUAGAGUGUAGGCGGGAGUCUUUGUGGAGCACGGUGUCCAAGUCCCUUGGAACAGGGCGCCUGAGAGGGUGAGAGCCCCGUGGGGUGCCGUGCGAAGCUUUGAGGCCCUGCUGACGAGUCGAGUUGUUUGGGAAUGCAGCUCCGAGUGGGUGGUAAAUUCCAUCUAAGGCUAAAUACUGGCGAGAGACCGAUAGCGAACAAGUACUGUGAAGGAAAGAUGAAAAGCACUUUGAAAAGAGAGUGAAACAGCACGUGAAAUUGUUGAAAGGGAAGGGUAUUGGGCCCGACAUGGGGAGUGCGCACCGCUGUCUCUUGUAGGCGGCGCUCUGGGCGCUCUCUGGGCCAGCAUCGGUUCUUGCUGCGGGAGAAUGGGUGCCGGAAAGUGGCUCUUCGGAGUGUUAUAGCCGGCGCCAGAUACCGCGU
rnacentral:rRNA from 1 species